rnacentral:lncRNA from 1 species
AUGGAGCCUGGCGGCGGCGAAAGCAACAGCCCCGGCAGNUUCGACACCGUGAGCGGCGGCGGCCACGCGCCCCGUUAUUCCUCCUUUCCCCGCUAUGGANUUCGGGAAGGGGAGGCCGCCGAAGCUGAUGCCGACGCCCCUCUCGAGCCGCCCCCUCAAUGCUGGAGGAAGGGCCUCUCAGAAAGCGCCCCGCCUCGGGGACCUGUCCGCCGAGCCGUUGUCGUCCCCAGCGCAAAUCUCAAGAAUCUCCUAGAGAGAGAUUUAUCAAAAGAGCGUCAUGAGUUACUAAAGGAUCAAAGACUAUUUCGUAAUCGAGCACGAAAACAUUUUAUAGAAACAAAUAAAAGAAGGAGAUCACUCAAAAUGAAGAGGAAAGAGAAUUGGCUGUUUGUGGAUCUCUGUUGCUUAGAAUACCAAUACCACUAAAACUUUUGCUGUGAGUCUCCUUUUUUUGGACAACUAUCAUGGACUUACAGAGGGGUUUCCUUAUUUUCAUCUUGGUUGAAGUUCCACAAAGGUACCUAUAAAUAACUCACAGAUUAUAUUUAAAAACUGGUAUGUUAGGACAGCAGCUUUCAUAUCAGAUCAUUUAUCCCCCAGGCCAAAUGACAGAAGAACCAAGGCUCAGAUACAGUUAAAAAGAUUAUUUGGUCAAUAAAUGUACAGUUUCUGCAUCUAAAACUCUGCA